CCUUCUGCGCUCGAGAGCUGGAACCUCAAAUAAGAAGAAUCUCGGUGAGGAGAAGGAGAAUGUGGUUGGUGUAGAGCAGACGUCAUCGUAGAAACCCGGCGGGCAGAGACAGAAGAAAGUCAUGCAGAUUUGGACCAACAUGAAGAUGAGCAAAUGAUGACCAAAUUUUCUGGUACCUGUAUAUCCAGGUUGGCACUUGCAGACGUAACCUGCUGCGUUGUCGUAGCUGAACGUCCAGUCUGUUUUCCAGUUCUCAGGUUUAGACUUCUCAAAACAUUCACCGCCGUUCUCACAAGGAGUAUCAGCGCAUUCAUCUACAUCCACCUCACAGUUAACACCUUCAAAACCUGCAAACACACAUACACAUCAGUAUCAGUACAAACCAACGUACA